ACCAAGGUUUGACGUGUAAGUGGUAGUGAUCUGAAAGUGAACGACCCUUCGGGAGCUUACACAGGUGCUGCAUGGCUGUCGUCAGCUCGUGUCGUGAGAUGUCGGUUAAGUCCGCUAACGAGCGCAACCCUCACUGUGUGUUACAUGUGUCACACGGGACUGCCGGUUUUUAAGCCGGAGGAAGGCGAGGAUGACGUCAAGUCAGCAUGGCCUUUAUAUCUUGGGCUACACACACGCUACAAUGGUCUGUACAAUAGGUUGCCAAGCCGCGAGGCGGAGCCAAUCCUUAAAGCAGGCCUCAGUUCAGAUUGCAGGCUGCAACCCGCCUGCAUGAAGAUGGAGUUGCUAGUAACCGCAGGUCAGCUAUACUGCAGUGAAUACGUUCCCGGGUCUU
rnacentral:rRNA from 1 species